rnacentral:rRNA from 1 species
GACGAACCGUGCAAACGUUGUUCGGAAUCACUGGGCUUAAAGGGCGCGUAGGCGGGUUCCCAAGUCGGUGGUGAAAUCUUUCGGCCCAACCGGAAAAGUGCCGCCGAUACUGGGAGUCUCGAGGGAGGUAGGGGUCGAUGGAACUUCCGGUGGAGCGGUGAAAUGCGUAGAUAUCGGAAGGAACGCCGGUGGCGAAAGCGACCGACUGGACCUCUUCUGACGCUGAGGCGCGAAAGCCAGGGGAGCAAACGGG